rnacentral:rRNA from 1 species
GAUGAACGCUGGCGGCGUGCCUAAUACAUGCAAGUCGAGCGAACAGAUGAGGAGCUUGCUCCUCUGACGUUAGCGGCGGACGGGUGAGUAACACGUGGAUAACCUACCUAUAAGACUGGGAUAACUUCGGGAAACCGGAGCUAAUACCGGAUAAUAUAUUGAACCGCAUGGUUCAAUAGUGAAAGACGGUUUUGCUGUCACUUAUAGAUGGAUCCGCGCCGCAUUAGCUAGUUGGUAAGGUAACGGCUUACCAAGGCAACGAUGCGUAGCCGACCUGAGAGGGUGGUCGGCGACCUUGGAAGUGGGCCAGGGUCCAGACGCCUACGGGAGGCAGCAGUAGGGAAUCUUCCGCAAUGGGCGAAAGCCUGACGGAGCAACGCCGCGUGAGUGAUGAAGGUCUUCGGAUCGUAAAACUCUGUUAUUAGGGAAGAACAAAUGUGUAAGUAACUAUGCACGUCUUGACGGUACCUAAUCAGAAAGCCACGGCUAACUACGUG